GUCAAAUGGCUCAUUCCAUAUGGUCAUUGAUGUUGGAUGCUCCCCAUUUUCUAUUGUAGCUUAGAUUUUAUCCUGUGUUUACUUUUGCAUAGUUGCAGAUCAUGAAUGACUGUUUUAUUGUGGUCUAGUUCUUCUCUAAUAAGAACAUAUAUUGUUCUUGCUUGUGCAUUUAUCCAAACCUAGUUUUGCUUACGUGUGUACUAUUUUGAUUGCCCUGACAGACUGAACAGGAUGUUAGAGUUUUUCAUGUCAUCGACAACUCUGCGUCACUAGUAGAUUGGGGUGUUCGGCUGCCACCCUUGUCUCCGCCGUGGCCAUCCUCCUCUUCAUCUGUUCCACAACGUCCAUGGCUUAAACAAGGUACAGCUCAUGGACGCCAAGGAGAAUGAUGCCUUAGACUAGUCUGAGAAGCCAUCGCUGCCCUUGGAUGUUCCCGCCGACAAAGACGGGCACAUGGUGACACAAGAUUGGGCUACCCAGCCAACGGUAAGUGGCGGUGUACUUCAUCACAGCCUUCCGUUUUCGAAAACAUCAGUCAAUCCUUCGUUAAGUGAGCAUAAUGGACAUCAAUGACCCAACCAUGCCCAUAAUGGCCAUACAGUACAACAAGGCAUCCUCGUUGGUCUAUGUUGCAAAUGGGCUGCAGCACUUUCCAUGCUUUCAAGCCGAAGGACUUCACUCCGAGGGCAUACUCUACAAGCAAUACAAAUUCAGAGAGACACGAGGAAAUCAAGUCAAAAUCAACCGAUUGUCUUAGACCCUUUUGCACAUGGACAUUUGAGAGCACUCUACUCUUUAGUCUGUUGGAACAAAGUUAUGAUGUUUCCAUUUCACACAAGAAAUCAAUUGCAAGAAGAUCAUGACAGCAGCUUGUCAUGUAAGGCGUUUCAAGCCAAAGGACGGAUUCACUCCAAGAUCAUGUUGUGCAAGCAGCACAAAUUCAGAGAGCCUCAAGGAAAUCAAGGCAAAAGUGUACUGGCCAUACAAACCUCUGUUCCUCUCUCACGUAAUUGCAUAGUUGAUUGUGCGUCACAGCAUCAACCCUUGCACCUUCUAUUGCUGACAUAUACUUGUGAGUGCAAGACUUGUCAAUGAGCACCUGGCAGCUGUUCUCUCCCUGGCAGUGAGUUCAGUCUGCUGCAACCACCUCUCCUUCGACGGUGGAUCAGCAACGAAGGAUCCUAUUGAGCCCUCGGCCGAGACAGAACAAGUUUUUGAGGCGCUCACUACCAAUCGUCGAAGACAGGUCAAAGCCCUUGAGUUGGUCGGUUUCUCUAAGCACUGGAGCUGGGCGUUUUGCCCCUUUUUUGGGUAGUGUAAUGUGGUGGGAGUUAUUUUAACCUGUUAGUGAGGGAAUCAUCUUCUGGUAAAGAUGAUCAUAUAUGUACAAACCUGUAGUGUUUGGUUUGGUUGUAGCUGAUACUUAUUUGUAUAUGGAUUAGGUGCCUUUGAUUUGAUUCAACACGGGCUAGUGAUGAUUUAUAUGUACCAAAUCUCUUUCAUUUUGAUGGAUUUGCGACGGCGCCUGAGAUUGAUUUUCCUGCUGGCAUGGCACAGUAGAA